AAGAACCUUUUAUAAAAUACUUA
rnacentral:snRNA from 1 species